GUGUCAGCAGCCGCGGUAAUACGGAGGGAGCGAACGUUGUUCGGAUUCACUGGGCGUAAAGGGUGUGUAGGCGGUCUUGCAAGUCUGAGGUGAAAUCCCCCGGCUCAACCGGGGAACUGCCUUGGAGACUGCGAGACUUGAGGGCGUGAGAGGAGACUGGAAUUCCUAGUGUAGCGGUGAAAUGCAUAGAUAUUAGGAGGAACACCAGUGGCGAAGGCGAGUCUCUGGCACGCAUCUGACGCUGAAACACGAAAGCCAGGGGAGCGAACGGGAUUAGAUACCCUGGUAGUCC
rnacentral:rRNA from 1 species